rnacentral:rRNA from 1 species
UACGAAGGGGGCUAGCGUUGCUCGGAAUCACUGGGCGUAAAGCGCACGUAGGCGGACUCUUAAGUCGGUGGUGAAAUCCUGGAGCUCAACUCCAGAACUGCCUUUGAUACUGGCGACCUUGAGUCCGGGAGAGGUGAGUGGAACUGCGAGUGUAGAGGUGAGAUUCGUAGAUAUUCGCAAGAACACCAGUGGCGAAGGCGGCUCACUGGCCCGGUACUGACGCUGAGGUGCGAAAGCGUGGGGAGCAAACAGG